rnacentral:misc_RNA from 1 species
GUCUUUCUCAAUCCAACUAACAAGUCCAUGUUAUGUUUACUUUGAUCUGCCUGUAUAUUAUGGUAAGGAAAUCAAAGGGAAGUUGAGUUAUGGUGCUGUGCAUGAUGUUUCAGGGAUUCAAGCAAAAAAGCUGUUUAUUUGGUUAUCGGUUAGUGGAAUUGAGGCGGAUAAGGAUGAUGGUAUGAUUGAGUUCUUCGUUGGUUCUUUGUCUGAAAAGUUGCCUGCUAAGCAGUUUGAGGAUAUCCCCGCUUGUAAGAGUAAGGCUAGUCUAAGGACUAACCUGGAAUCCAUGUGAG